rnacentral:rRNA from 1 species
UGAGGAACAUGACCUUCGGCGGGGGAUAGCCGGCCCAACGGCCGGGUAAUACCGCGUACGACCACAUGGGGACAUCCCUCGGUGGUGAAAGCAGCAAUGCGCCGAUGGAGUGCCUCGCGGCCUAUCAGCUAGUUGGUGAUGUAACGGCUCACCAAGGCGACGACGGGUAGCUGGUCUGAGAGGAUGACCAGCCACAUUGGGACUGAGACACGGCCCAGACCUNUACGGGAG